rnacentral:rRNA from 1 species
GACGAACGCUGGCGGCGUGCUUAACACAUGCAAGUCGAACGGAAAGGCCCUGCUUUUGUGGGGUGCUCGAGUGGCGAACGGGUGAGUAACACGUGAGUAACCUGCCCUUGACUUUGGGAUAACUUCAGGAAACUGGGGCUAAUACCGGAUAGGAGCUCCUGCUGCAUGGUGGGGGUUGGAAAGUUUCGGCGGUUGGGGAUGGACUCGCGGCUUAUCAGCUUGUUGGUGGGGUAGUGGCUUACCAAGGCUUUGACGGGUAGCCGGCCUGAGAGGGUGACCGGCCACAUUGGGACUGAGAUACGGCCCAGACUCCGAAGGGAGGCAGCAGUGGGGAAUAUUGCACAAUGGGCGGAAGCCUGAUGCAGCAACGCCGCGUGCGGGAUGACGGCCUUCGGGUUGUAAACCGCUUUCGCCUGUGACGAAGCGUGAGUGACGGUAAUGGGUAAAGAAGCACCGGCUAACUACGUG